GAAGCAAGCAAGUCUCUUUGGCUUUUUGGCUCGCAAGAAGCCAGAGUGAUACUGGGCGUUGAAAAUACAGUGACCGAGCAUGGAAGCAUCGAGAAAAAUGGCUUGGCACUGGCAUUUCUUGGGUUUCUUCUUUCUCAGUUUGCACGUAUUCUCUGCAAAAGCCAAAGCUUCGCAGUGCUCAAUCAAGGGGUUGCCACUUGUGAGGAAUAUUAGUGAGCUUCCUCAGGAUGAUCAUGGAAUUCGAGGCUUGUCCCAUAUUACCGUUGCUGGCUCUGUCUUGCAUGGGAUGAAAGAGGUGGAGGUAUGGCUUCAAACGUUUUCUCCAGGGGCAUGCACGCCAAUCC
rnacentral:misc_RNA from 1 species